UGGGGAAUUUUGGACAAUGGGCGAAAGCCUGAUCCAGCCAUGCCGCGUGAGUGAAGAAGGCCUUCGGGUUGUAAAGCUCUUUUAGUCGGAAAGAAAGAGUUGCAAUGAAUAAUUGUGAUUUAUGACGGUACCGACAGAAAAAGCACCGGCUAACUACGUGCCAGCAGCCGCGGUAAUACGUAGGGUGCGAGCGUUAAUCGGAAUUACUGGGCGUAAAGGGUGCGCAGGCGGUCUUGCAAGUCAGAUGUGAAAGCCCCGGGCUUAACCUGGGAAUUGCGUUUGAAACUACAAGGCUAGAGUGCAGCAGAGGGGAGUGGAAUUCCAUGUGUAGCAGUGAAAUGCGUAGAGAUGUGGAAGAACACCGAUGGCGAAGGCAGCUCCCUGGGUUGACACUGACGCUCAUGCACGAAAGCGUGGGGAGCAAACAGG
rnacentral:rRNA from 1 species